rnacentral:rRNA from 1 species
UACGUAGGGGGCGAGCGUUGUCCGGAUUCAUUGGGCGUAAAGAGCUCGUAGGCGGCUUGGCAAGUCGGGUGUGAAAACUCCAGGCUCAACCUGGAGACGCCACCCGAUACUGCUAUGGCUAGAGUCUGGUAGGGGAUCACGGAAUUCCUGGUGUAGCGGUGAAAUGCGCAGAUAUCAGGAGGAACACCAGUGGCGAAGGCGGUGAUCUGGGCCAGUACUGACGCUGAGGAGCGAAAGCGUGGGGAGCAAACAGG